UGGGGUGGCGGUGCCGGUGGCAGCGGGGCAGCUCGGUGGCCUGGGAGCGAGCAUGUGGCUGCAGCACCCGCUGCCAGGACAGGCAGGGUGCCAGCGCCGGGCAUGCGGGUGGCAGGGGCACUGUGGUGGUGGGCCUGCGUGGGGCAGCAGGAGAGAGAGACAGAGAGACAGAGACCCCCCGGUGUGGGCGCACGGCACCGGCAGGUGCCACCUCCUGUGGCCCCUGUCACCCACCCGAGCCACCCCCGUGGGCACAGGUGGCCGUGGUGUCACUGGGGGAACUGGGGGGACUGGGACACGAGGUGUGGGGAGCUGGGGGAGGGGGCUGAUGAAGGAGGGAGGAGCCUGUGCAGUGCAGUGGGCAGGGCCUGGUGGUUAAUUAGCAGUGGGAGGAGCCAGUCAUUGAUGAGUUUUCAGAGCCCCAUGGCUACCUUGUGCUCGUAGAUGCAGCCCCUGCUGCCUGGGGACAGAUGCCGCAUCCCUGGGGCGUGGGGAGGCAGCCCCAUUGGGGAGCACGUGGUGGUGCUGCCCUGAGACAUGCGUUGGUGUGGGGACUGCGAUGGCUCUGUCCCCAUGUGCCGCUGUCCCCUACUGUGAGAGGGCGGCCGUGUGAGCCUUGGGGCUGUGGGCGAGGAGGGUGCAGGGGUUUUGCCAUGGGGAGCAUCCCUGCAGGGCUGAGGAAGGCGCUCCUGCUGCCAUGGAGCGUGCUGUGGGGACAGAGGUGCGCAGGGAGCUGUGGGGUCACUGCACGCUGCACCGCUUUGGGGAUGGUGCUGCUGGGGGGACACGGAGCGAUGGUGCUGUGUGUGUGGGGUGCCCGAGGCUCUCUGCACCGUGGGCUUCACCCUGCUCUGGUGCUCUGACAAGCAGCGUGUCUCUGCCUGGUGCCACCAGCCCGAGCCCUGCCUCUGCCUUGGGCACCGCCUGAUUCCCCCGGUGCCCGUUCCCGUUGUGCUGACGCACGCCUCCCUGCUCCCGAUUCCCAGCCUCCGGCCCUGGCGGCCACGUUUCUGGAGCAGCCGGGGCUGCGAGCUGGGUUAAUGUCACCCUGCCCCAGGCGCCUCCUUCGAGCCAGCGCUGGGGCUGCGGGCAUGCUGUGCCUGGAGCAAACAGCCUCCAAAAAGCCACCCCAGGGGCAGAGAGGUGGCUGAGCCCUGCCCCAGGGCACUGCGCUCUCUGUGCCGUGAGUGCCACAUCCCCAGCCCUUUGCUGGGGAGGCUUCAGGAGGCAGUGGGACGGAGCUUAAUGCCCAGGUGCAGAGGGACCCGUGCUGGAGAGGCUGGGGAGGCCGUGCUGAGGGGUUUGGUGGGGGUUUGCAGGCGCAGCACCCCCAGGAGGCAGCAGGCCAGGCCUGUGGGGCUCAGGCGUGCUGUUCCCCUGAGUCCAUUUUGUCCGUGCCCGGAGCUGUGCGGUGAGACGGGGCGUCAUGUGAAAUGGAGGAGCCGUGCCAUGGCCCUGCAGCCCUGCCCUGACACCCUGCCAGGCCCCGGCGCAUGGGCUCGCCGGCACCCAGCACCGAGGCUCCGGCUGCUCGGGGGGCUCCCCUCCUGGGGACCCGGCUCUCCAGGGGUCGUGGGUGUCCCACUGGUGGCAGGGCCGGGCAGGGACACCCUGUCCUUGUUCCCUGGGUGCUCUGUGGGUCAGGCUAUGGCCAGAUGGGCGCAAGGUGCCCCAGCAGGACGGGGUGCUGCUCUGGGCUCGGGGGCCCUGUCCCCGGUGUCUGGGGGGUGCAGAGGUCUCCGGUGGGUGCAGAGCCCUGUCCUCCGCCUCCUCCUCCUCCCCCUGAGCUGCAGCUCUCCGUGGGGCUGACGCCUGGCUCUCCCAAGGUGGCUCAGGUCACGGCUGGAGGGGUGGGGGGGCUCUGUGCUGCCCGGCUCCGCUGCUCAGCCCCGGCAGGUCCUCCUGCAGCGGCUCUGCAUUCCCCCUUGCUCGCACAAGCCCGAUUUAGCUCUUCUAAUCCCUUGCCCUGAAUCUGUCGCUCCACCCCACUAAUGAUUUUCUCCUGCUCUUCUCCCUGCGUGUGUCAGUGCCUGGCGUGGGGAUCGGGGUAGCACACGCGUGGGGCUGGCCAGGAGGGGUCCCCGGGGUGGGCUGCCCCCCUGUGUCCCACCUUUUUGCCCCUGCACCACCAGUGCAGGUUCUCCCUCAGUUUCCUGGCCCUGUGGGUGUAGGUGGGGUGGGGUGGGGUGGGGUGUGUCCCCUCUCCCACUGCCACCAACACCAGGCUGCUCUGGGGUCUCAGGGGUCUGCAGACCCCAGAUCCUUCCCAGGUCCCCACCUGUAGUUCCAUCAUUUCCAGGCCCGCUAAUGCCUGUAUCACUUCUCGGCUGCAUUUCCUGAAUUUUUCCCCGUAAGCCGGAUUAAAUCACCUCUCAAAAACUCCAGCUAAUCUCCUUUUAAAGAGCCGAGCCCUCCCUCGCCUGUGCCAGCUCUGGGUCUGCAUCUUAUUUCAAGGUUGGCUUUGCCCGUCCCGGCCCCAGCGCAGGGUCUCUCCGCUCGCCUCCACCUGCACUCAGCAAUCACGGCGCCCUGUAACCUUUCCUCCUCGGGGAGCAGAGAGGCUGGGCGCAGGGGCAGGGGAGGCACACGGGGCUGUCCGUGUGCGGUGGCCCCGCACGGCCCCUUCCCUCUGUCUGUUGCUGGGGGCGAAGCCUUCCUGCAGCGUGGGGGACGCCCUGGGGGCUCCGUGCGUUUUGGCACAGUGCCCCCCUUGCCCCCUGUUUUUUUCCCCAGCAGUGGGGCCUCUGCGGUUGGUGCUGUGCGGUGGUGAGUAGCCCUGGUGUGGACGGCCAUGCUGACAGUGUCUCCGGUGGCUCGGCACCUCUGGCCGUUUAUCUCAGUGCCUAAUUUUAGGCCCUUACUUCGCAGAGCUGUGUCUGCGCCUUGUGCCAGGUGCCCCUUCCCUCCGGAGCCCCUGCCAGCCCUGCAGAGCGUUUUGGGGCUGCACGCAGCCCCACGCCUCCCUCUGCCUUCAGCUCCUUCCCUUGGCUCUCUCCGGGGCUGCCUCAGUUUCCCCUUGGAGCUCUGCCCCAUCUCCCCGCUGUGCCCACCCUGGCCCCACCGUGGGGUGUGCACGGUGUCUGUGGGGGCUGCCACGUCCCACCUGAGCAUGGCACAGCUGGUGCCACCUUGGUUUCAGGGACAGGUCCCCAGGCUGGGCCGUGCAGGGGGGACGGGGCCUUGGGGACCUCCCCGAGGUGGCUCUGCCUGCAGCCACCUGGGCAUGGGGCUCGCACAGGUGCCCCCCGGGGCCGGGUCCCCUCCUGGGGCUGUGGGGACCGGGCAGGGGAGCAGCGUGUGCAGCUGUCCAGUCAGUCACCUCCACCCCUGCCCUCUCUCCCGCUGCCGGGGGGUUAUUUUUGCUGAGGAAUGUGCCGUCCCCUCGGAUUCUCGCGGGCUGCAGGGCUUGUGUUACACACGAGAGGCCGAGACCCGGGCCCGCAUGCAGUAAAUAUAGCACCGCCGCUCGGGGCUGCGUGUGGGACCGCGGCCCCUUCCUCCUCCCGGGGCUGCCCCCCGGCUCCCACUGCUCCCUGCACUGGUGGCACUGGGGAGGGCUUUGCUCCUCCUGCCCCACAGCCCGUGCCCCUCCGGCACCGUGUCCGCUGCCCCCUGUGCCCUCUGCGCCCUGUCCCCCGGCCACGGGGUGCCGGCAGGGCGGGGAGGAGAUGUCCCCUCCCAUCCCACCCCAUGCCCAGCACCCGCAGCCAAGGUCACAUUGCUGUCCUGCGUCCCCGUGUCCUCUGCCUGCAGCGGGCACCGUGCGCUCGGCAUCCUUCUAGUGGCAGUGAGGGGAGGGGAUGCUGGGGAGUUGGGGUGUCCCCAGCAGCCAGGCUGUGCCAUGCUGUGCUCCAUGGCGAGGGGACAGCCAGCAGAGCAGUGACAAGGGCAGGGGGAUGAUGGUGACAGGUUGUAGCCUGGGGGAGUGUGUGGCACGCUCAGGACCUGCUCCCUGCUGCUGGGAACAUGGGCACUGCUCGUACCAGGCGUGGUGACACCCGUUCCCAAAGGUCUGUCCCCGUGCAGAUCUUACCUGCGCAACGCCUUCGCAUCCCGUGCUGGCCCCAGCCUGCAGGAUUCCCCUCUCACAGGCCACGAGCAGCCCUGUGCAGGAGCCUGCUGUGACUAUUUCCCCCUGGGAAAAAAAUAAAUCUCACCCCCUCCUCGCAUCCCAGCCAGCUGCGUGCACCCACAGCCACCAAUUACUCAAGCACCCAGUGCCACCGAGCCCAUGGUGCUGGUGGCCACAGCCGGUGGCCGGUUGGUGAUGCAGCGUGUGGUGGGGACAGGAUCCGUGCUGGGGAGCGCAGGGGAGACCCAGCAAGGAGAGGGGUUUGCAGGGUGCUGCUGCCUCUGGAAAGGGGAUUUUGGGGACCCAGCUUCUCCCAGGGGCUCCAUUCCUUGGGGAUGGCCAGGGCAGCAGAUCCUCAGCAGCAGGAAGGGCUCCGUGCCCGGGGAACCGAUGGGGCAGCAGGUGCUGGGGGGCUGUGCGGCAGCAGGGUGACACCCAGAUGUGCGGCCAGCCCCUGUACCUGGGGGCUUCAGCUCAGGGGUGCCAGGCUGCGGGGGACAGCAGCGUCCCCCAGCUCUGGCAGGAGGUUCCCUUUGUGCCAGCUCUGGCGUUCGCGUGACUCGCCUGACGUGCGGGGUCUCCGUGGAAACCCCGCAGCAUCACUGGGAUCGUGGGGCUGUCAGAAAUGUUGUAUAAACAGCUCCCUUUGUGCUGGCUAAUUUGCAAGUUAUUAUGAAGCCAUGAAAAGCUUCACGUUGGGAGGCAGGGGCUGGGAGGAGAGCUGCCGUGCGCCCCGGUGUGUGUGAUGCCCGCCUGCAGCGCGGCACGGGGGGGCUCCUCCCCGGGGGACAGGUGAGCAGCACGGGGACAGGGAGGCUCCAGCUGUGUCCCCACGGGGGUCUCGCAGGUGGGAGGAAGCAGUGUGGCUGGCUGCUGGGCUGGGAAUUUGGCAGCCUCUGCGGGAACCUGGCGGGCAGGGCAUGGGGUGGUGUGGGCACCCUGGGGACGCUCAGCAGUGCCGGGACCCAAACCCACAGCGCGGAGAGGGGCCUGGUGCUGUCACCCGUGGGUGGAGGGCUUGGGGGGUGCUGAGCGGGUCUGGGCAGGGCACCAGAGCUGGCCUGUCUGUGGGCACACUGGGGACAUUAUCUGCCGUUGGGGUGCGCGUGGGAGCCCCGGCGUGGGCUGCGCCCCAGGGUGCUGGGCGCAAUGGGGGCAGGGGGGGAGCCCGUGCCCCGGGCGGUGGGGCAGGGCGCAGGGCACGGCAGGGCACGGAGCAGGGCAGGGGGCUGAGCGGGGGCCGGGAGCCCCUCGCCCCCCGCCACCUGCGCCCCGCCCGGCCCCCGCCGCCGCCGCUGCGUGCCAGGGGCUGGCGGGGAGGCGGAGGCGGAGGCAGGCGGGGGAAGGAUGGAGGGAGGAGCGCUCGAGUGAUGCUUCAUGCUCACAGCCCCAGCCCUCCCGAGAGCCCGACCCGGCGAGCCCCUUCCUCUCCCUCGGCCGUGCCCGGCUGCCGCCGGGGAGGAUGCUCGGAGGGGCCCCGGCCCCGCGCCGCGCUGAGCCCCGGCCCCCCGCCGGCAGCGGGCGGGCGUCCUGCCGGGCCUGAGCCGCCGGGGCCGGGCCGCCGGGGCUCUGCAGAAGCAUGAAGAAGAUCUGGGUGAAGAAGCGCUUCCAGAAGACCGGCCACUCGCGGCGCUUCGGGCGCUUCACGCAUGCGAAGUUUUCCGCUCCUGCAGGAAACAAAGCUACGGUAGGAAGACGCCCGCCUCCUGCCAGCCCCGCUCCCAGAACGGGCCCCUGGGCCCCCUCCCUGUCGCGAUGCCCCCUCUGUCCCCCUGUGCUGCCUCCUCGUCUCCACCACCCCAAUUUCAGCCGCCUUCCCCCGCAUUGCAACCCCAGCACCACCUCCCCUCCUGCCUCCACCCCACCUCUGACCAUUUACUGCUGCUCCUGCCCUUGGUCCCGCCGGACUUUCCAGCCUUGGUUCUGCCUUUCCCCGCCGGCAGCUUGUCCCUUCCGUGUCCCCAGUGUCACAGUCAUGCCUCUCCUACCGCCUCAGCCUUCUGCUGCCUGGAGCUGCCCGGGCACUGCUCGUCUGCCGCCUGAGCUGGUGGCUCUGCGAGGAGCAGUGCCAGCCUGCCCUGCAUGCCCCCGUGUCCCCUCACCCCCUGCUCUCCCU